rnacentral:rRNA from 1 species
GUGGGGAAUCUUAGACAAUGGGGGAAACCCUGAUCUAGCCAUGCCGCGUGAUCGCUGAAGGCCUUAGGGUUGUAAAGAUCUUUCAGGUGGGAAGAUAAUGACUGUACCACCAGAAGAAGCCCCGGCUAACUCCGUGCCAGCAGCCGCGGUAAUACGGAGGGGGCUAGCGUUGUUCGGAAUUACUGGGCGUAAAGCGCACGUAGGCGGAUUGGAAAGUUGGGGGUGAAAUCCCGGGGCUCAACCCCGGAACUGCCUUCAAAACUCCCAGUCUUGAGUUCGGUAGUGGUGAGUGGAAUACCGAGUGUAGAGGUGAAAGUCGUAGAUAUUCGGAGGAACACCAGUGGCGAAGGCGGCUCACUGGCUCGAUACUGACGCUGUGGUGCGAGAGCGUGGGGAGCAAACAGGAUUAGAAACCCCGGUAGUCC